rnacentral:rRNA from 1 species
UACGUAGGGUGCGAGCGUUAAUCGGAAUUACUGGGCGUAAAGCGUGCGCAGGCGGUUUUGUAAGCCAGAUGUGAAAGCCCCGGGCUCAACCUGGGAAUGGCAUUUGGGACUGCAAGGCUGGAGUAUGGCAGAGGAGACUAGAAUUCCUGGUGUAGCAGUGAAAUGCGUAGAUAUCAGGAGGAAUACCGAUGGCGAAGGCAGGUCUCUGGGCCAAUACUGACGCUCAUGCACGAAAGCGUGGGGAGCAAAUAGG